UACGUAGGAGGCAAGCGUUGUCCGGACUGACUGGGCGUAAAGCGCGCGCAGGCGGUGCGGUGCGUCGGUGCUGAAAUCGGGCCGCUUAACGGCCCGCGGCGUGCCGAUACGCCCGUACUGGAGGGUGGGCGAGGGUGGUGGAAUUGCCGGUGUAGUGGUGAAAUGCGUAGAGAUCGGCAGGAACACCCGUGGCGAAAGCGGCCACCUAGCCCAUACCUGACGCUGAUGCGCGACAGCGUGGGGAGCGAACUGG
rnacentral:rRNA from 1 species